rnacentral:rRNA from 1 species
AUACGUAGGGGGCGAGCGUUGUUCGGAAUGACUGGGCGUAAAGGGCGCGUAGGCGGCCGAUCAAGUUGGGAGUGAAAUUCCUGCUUUCAAGGGGGGAACUGCUUUCAAAACUGGUUGGCUUGAGUGCGGAAGAGGUAAGUGGAAUUCCCAGUGUAGCGGUGAAAUGCGUAGAGAUUGGGAGGAACACCAGUGGCGAAGGCGACUUACUGGGCCGUAACUGACGCUGAGGCGCGAAAGCGUGGGGAGCAAACAGGAUUAGAUACCCUGGUAGUCCACGCGGUAAACGAUGAGUGCUAGGUGUAGGGGGUAUCGACCCCUCCUGUGCCGCAGUUAACGCAAUAAGCACUCCGCCUGGGGAGUACGGCCGCAAGGUUGAA